rnacentral:rRNA from 1 species
ACGAACCUUCGGGUUAGUGGCGGACGGGUGAGUAACGCGUGAGAAUCUGCCCUCAGGAGGGGGAUAACGGUUGGAAACGACCGCUAAUACCCCAUAUGCCUACUGGUGAAAUGAAUUUCGCCUGAGGAUGAGCUCGCGUCUGAUUAGCUAGUUGGUGAGGUAAUGGCACACCAAGGCUUCGAUCAGUAGCUGGUCUGAGAGGAUGAUCAGCCACACUGGGACUGAGACAUGGCCCAGACUCCUACGGGAGGCAGCAGUGGGGAAUUUUCCGCAAUGGGCGAAAGCCUGACGGAGCAACGCCGCGUGAGGGACGAAGGCCUCUGGGCUGUAAACCUCUUUUCUCAAGGAAGAAGAUAUGACGGUACUUGAGGAAUAAGCCACGGCUAAUUCCGUGCCAGCAGCCGCGGUAAUACGGGAGUGGCAAGCGUUAUCCGGAAUUAUUGGGCGUAAAGCGUCCGCAGGCGGCUUUUCAAGCCUGCUGUUAAAGCGUGGAGCUUAACUCCAUCAUGGCAGUGGAAACUGAAAGGCUCGAGUAUGGUAGGGGCAGAGGGAAUUCCCGGUGUAGCGGUGAAAUGCGUAGAUAUCGGGAAGAACACCAGUGGCGAAGGCGCUCUGCUGGGCCAUUACUGACGCUCAUGGACGAAAGCCAGGGGAGCGAAAGGGAUUAGAUACCCCUGUAGUCCUGGCCG